GGGGAUUUAGCUCAGCGGCAUAAGCACCUGCCUUGCAAGCAGGUGGUCGUGAGUUCGAUUCCUAGUACCAA
rnacentral:tRNA from 1 species